rnacentral:rRNA from 1 species
AAUAUUUGACGAUGGGUGCAACCCUGAUCCAGCCAUGCCGCGUGUGUGAAGAAGGUCUUCGGUAUGUAAAUCACUUUAAGUUGGGAGAAAGGGCUUUAUGUUAAUACCCUGAAGUUUUGACUGUACCAACCGAUCAAGCACCGGCUAACUCAGUGCCAUCAGCCCCGGUACUGCAGAGGGUGCAAGCGUUAAUCGGAAUUACUGGGCGUAACGGGAGCGUAGGUGGUUCAGUAAGAUGGGUGGGAAAUCACCGGGCUUAACCUGGGAACUGCUUUCAUAACUGCUGAGCUAGAGUACGGUAGAGGGUAGUGGAAUUUCCUGUGUAGCGGUGAAAUGCGUAGAUAUAGGAAGGAACACCAGUGGCGAAGGCGACUACCUGGACUGAUACUGACACUGAGGUGCGAAAGAGUGGGGAGCAAACA